rnacentral:rRNA from 1 species
AGAGUUUGAUCCUGGCUCAGGAUGAACGCUGGCGGCGCGCCUAACACAUGCAAGUCGAACGGACGAUGAAGAGCUUGCUUUUCAAAGUUAGUGGCGGACGGGUGAGUAACGCGUGGGUAACCUGCCUCAUACAGGGGAAUAGCAGCUGGAAACGGCUGAUAAAACCGCAUAAGCGCACAGUGCCGCAUGGCACAGUGUGAAAAACUCCGGUGGUAUGAGAUGGACCCGCGUCUGAUUAGCUGGUUGGCGGGGUAACGGCCCACCAAGGCGACGAUCAGUAGCCGGCCUGAGAGGGUGAUCGGCCACAUUGGGACUGAGACACGGCCCAAACUCCUACGGGAGGCAGCAGUGGGGAAUAUUGCACAAUGGGGGAAACCCUGAUGCAGCGACGCCGCGUGAAGGAAGAAGUAUCUCGGUAUGUAAACUUCUAUCAGCAGGGAAGAUAAUGACGGUACCUGACUAAGAAGCCCCGGCUAACUACGUGCCAGCAGCCGCGGUAAUACGUAGGGGGCAAGCGUUAUCCGGAUUUACUGGGUGUAAAGGGAGCGUAGGCGGCGGAGCAAGUCAGAAGUGAAAGCCCGGGGCUCAACCCCGGGACGGCUUUUGAAACUGCCCUGCUUGAUUUCAGGAGAGGUAAGCGGAAUUCCUAGUGUAGCGGUGAAAUGCGUAGAUAUUAGGAGGAACACCAGUGGCGAAGGCGGCUUACUGGACUGACAAUGACGCUGAGGCUCGAAAGCGUGGGGAGCAAACAAGAUUAGAUUCCCCUGGUAGUUCCCCCCCGUAAACGAUGAAUACUAGGUGUUGGGGGCUCAUAAGAGCUUCGGUGCCGCAGCAAACGCAAAAAAGUAUUCCACCCUGGGGAGUACGUUCGCAAGAAUGAAACUCAAAGAAUUGACGGGGACCCGCACAAGCGGUGAAGCAUGUGGUUUAAUUCGAAGCAACGCGAAGACCCUUACCAGGCCUUGACAUCCUGCUGACCGGUGAGUAAUGUCACCUUUCCUACGGGACAGCAGAGACAGGUGGUGCAUGGUUGUCGUCAGCUCGUGUCGUGAAGAUGUUGGGUUAAGUUCCCGCAACGAGCGCAACCCCUAUGUUCAGUAGCCAGCAUUUAGGAUGGGCACUCUGGACAGACUGCCGGGGAUAACCCGGAGGAAGGCGGGGAUGACGUCAAAUCAUCAUGCCCCUUACGGCCUGGGCUACACACGUGCUACAAUGGCGUAAACAAAGGGAAGCAAGAGGGUGACCUGGAGCGAAUCCCAUAAAUAACGUCCCAGUUCGGACUGUAGUCUGCAACCCGACUACACGAAGCUGGAAUCGCUAGUAAUCGCGAAUCAGCAUGUCGCGGUGAAUACGUUCCCGGGUCUUGUACACACCGCCCGUCA